CAAUCGAACCCGGAGAUAGCUGGUUCUCCUCGAAAUAGCUUUAGGGCUAGCCUCGCAUUAGUUUACCGGAGGUAGAGCACUGAAUGGUCUAGGGGGCCUCACCGCCUACCGAAACCUAUCAAACUGCGAAUGCCGGAUAAAUGAUGUGCGGGAGUCAGGCCGCGAGAGAUAAGUUCCGCGGUCAAAAGGGGAACACCCCAGAUCGUCUGCUAAGGUCCCCAAGUACGCGUUAAGUGGGAAAGGAUGUUGGAUUGCACAGACAACCAGGAUGUUGGCUUAGAAGCAGCCACACAUUCAAAGAGUGCGUAAUAGCUCACUGGUCGAGUGAUCCAGCGCCGAAAAUGUAACGGGGCUAAAACGCGACACCGAAGCAGCGGGAUGCGUAAGCAUCGGUAGAGGAGCAUUGUGUGAGGGUUGAAGCCAGAGCGGGAGCACUGGUGGACUUCACAGAAGAGAGAAUGCCGGUAUGAGUAGCGAGACCCAUGCGAGAAACAUGGGCGUCGAAGGCCCAAGGUUUCCUGGGGAAGGUUCAUCCACCCAGGGUAAGUCGGGACCUAAGCCGAGGACUGAGGUCGUAGGCGAUGGACAGCAGGUAGAGAUUCCUGCACCACUUACACUUGUUUGACGAAGCAGUGACACAGAAGGAUAGGACGAGCGCGGUGAUGGUCAACCGCGUAGGCGGCACGAGGCCGGGAAGCAGUGAAGUACACUUCCCGCAAAGGCUGAGUGCUGACAGGACCGAAAAGAAGUAGGGAAGCGUCCGAGUUCACGCUGGCGAGAAAAGCUGCUAAGGAGAGUGUGAGUGCCCGUACCGGAAACCGACGCAGGUGGGCGAGGAGAGAAUCCUGAGACGGACGGGAGAACUCUUGUUAAGGAACUCGGCAAAAUGACCCCGUAACUUCGGGAGAAGGGGUGCCUCGAAAGAGGCCGCAGAGAAUAGUCACAAGCGACUGUUUAGCAAAAACACAGGUAUCUGCGAAAGCGAGAGCUGACGUAUAGGUGCUGACGCCUGCCCGGUGCUGGAAGGUUAAGGGGAAGUGUUAGGGGAAACCCGAAGCAGAGAACCGAAGCCCCAGUAAACGGCGGCCGUAACUAUAACGGUCCUAAGGUAGCGAAAUUCCUUGUCGGGUAAGUUCCGACCCGCACGAAUGGCGUAACGACUUGUGAGCUGUCUCAACAGGAGGCCCGGUGAAAUUGAAGUAUGUGUGAAGAUGCACAUUACCCGCGACUGGACGGAAAGACCCCGUAGAGCUUUACUGUAACCUGACAUUGGAUCUUGAUAACGGAUGCACAGGAUAGGUGGGACGCUGGGAGACGAGGACUUUGGUUUUCGUGGAGCGGCCGUUGGGAUACCACUCUUCUGUUAUUGAGAUUCUAACCUCAAGCCGUGAGCCGGAUGAGAGACAGUGUCAGGCGGACAGUUUGACUGGGGCGGUCGCCUCCGAAAGAGUAACGGAGGCGCCCAAAGGUACCCUCAGAAUGGAUGGAAACCAUUCGAAGAGAGCAAAGUCAGAAGGGUGCUUGACUGCGAGACCAACAAGUCGAGCAGGUACGAAAGUAGGGCUUAGUGAUCCGGCGGUAAGAGAGUGGAAUUGCCGUCGCUCAACGGAUAAAAGCUACCUCGGGGAUAACAGGCUGAUCUCCCCCAAGAGUUCACAUCGACGGGGAGGUUUGGCACCUCGAUGUCGGCUCAUCGCAUCCUGGAGCUGAAGUCGGUUCCAAGGGUUGGGCUGUUCGCCCAUUAAAGCGGUACGCGAGCUGGGUUCAGAACGUCGCGAGACAGUUCGGUCCCUAUCUAUCACGGGCGUAGGAAAUUUGAGGAGAGCUGACCUUAGUACGAGAGGACCGGGUUGGACGUACCGCUGGUGCACCUGUUGUUCUGCCAAGGGCAUAGCAGGGUAGCUAAGUACGGACGGGAUAAACGCUGAAGGCAUCUAAGCGUGAAGCCCCCUUCGAGAUAAGAUUUCCCAUAGCGUAGGCUAGUAAGGACCCAUGAAGACUACAUGGUUGAUAGGCCGGAGGUGGAAGUGCAGUAAUGUAUGCAGCUGACCGGUACUAAUAGUCCGAGGGCUUGACCAA
rnacentral:rRNA from 1 species